rnacentral:rRNA from 1 species
GACGAACGCUGGCGGCGUGCCUAACACAUGCAAGUCGAACGGAAAGGCCCUGCUUUUGUGGGUUGCUCGAUUGGCGAACGGGUGAGUAACACGUGAGUAACCUGUACCUGACUUUGGGAUAUCUUCAGGAAACUCGGGCUCAUACCCGAUAGGAUCUCCUGCUGCUCGGUGGGCGUGGGAAAGUUUCGGUGGUUGGGGCUGUAUUCGCGGCUUAUGGGCUUGUUUGUGUGGUAGUGACUUACCACGGCUGUGAAGGGUAGCCGGCAUGGGAGGGUUGACGGCGACAAUAGGACUGAGGUACGGCGCAGACUGGUAUGGGAGGCAGCGGUGGGGAAUAUUGCAGAAUGGGGGGGCGCGUGUUGUAGCAGCGCUGCGUGCGGGAUGACGGGCUUCGGGUUGUGAACCGCUGUGGCAUGUGACGAGGCGUUAGUGACGGUAAUGGGUAAAGAAGCACCGGCUAACUACGUG